rnacentral:snoRNA from 1 species
AUCCUUUUGUAGUUCAUAAGUGUGAUGAUUGGGUUUUCAUGCUCAUGUGUGAGAUGUGCCUCCCUCAAACCUUGUUUUGACGUUGGCACAUUACCCGUCUAAUG